CUCAUCAUCACCACUCUUUUUAAUAAUCUUCUCAUCGGCUCCGAUCAACUUUUCCCCUUUCUCUUUCUCACCCACAGCGGCAGCGGCAGGAUCGGCGGCUUGGGGCUGAUCAAGAUCGGGACUUGGUACUGUUGGGGGAUUCAGGCUAAGAUCAGAGGUGAAGCAUGGAGGAGGAGGGGGAGGAGGAGGAUCCAUGGGAUAUUUGAUCUGGGUUUCUAAAGCGUUGGAAUCCAAAUUGAAGAAAUCCCAGAAACCAGG
rnacentral:lncRNA from 1 species